GAUGAACGCUGGCGGCGUGCCUAAUACAUGCAAGUCGAGCGAACGGACGAGAAGCUUGCUUCUCUGAUGUUAGCGGCGGACGGGUGAGUAACACGUGGAUAACCUACCUAUAAGACUGGGAUAACUUCGGGAAACCGGAGCUAAUACCGGAUAAUAUUUUGAACCGCAUGGUUCAACAGUGAAAGACGGUCUUGCUGUCACUUAUAGAUGGAUCCGCGCUGCAUUAGCUAGUUGGUAAGGUAACGGCUUACCAAGGCAACGAUGCAUAGCCGACCUGAGAGGGUGAUCGGCCACACUGGAACUGAGACACGGUCCAGACUCCUACGGGAGGCAGCAGUAGGGAAUCUUCCGCAAUGGGCGAAAGCCUGACGGAGCAACGCCGCGUGAGUGAUGAAGGUCCUCGGAUCGUAAAACUCUGUUAUUAGGGAAGAACAAAUGUGUAAGUAACUGUGCACGUCUUGACGGUACCUAAUCAGAAAGCCACGGCUAACUACGUG
rnacentral:rRNA from 1 species